AGUCACUGACAUUAGAUACCCGUGUAGUCCAGGGUGUAAACGCUGCAGACUUGGUGUUGGAAGCCCUUUGGGGGCAUUCAGUGCCGGAGAGAAGUUGUUAAGUCUGCUACUUGGGGAGUACGUCCGCAAGGAUGAAACUUAAAGGAAUUGGCGGGGGAGCACCGCAACGGGAGGAGCGUGCGGUUUAAUUGGAUUCAACACCGUAAACUCACCAGGGAAGACUGUUACAUGAAAGCCGAGAUGAAGACUCUGCUAGAUUUUCAG
rnacentral:rRNA from 1 species